rnacentral:rRNA from 1 species
AGAGUUUGAUCCUGGCUCAGAACGAACGCUGGCGGCAUGCCUAACACAUAGCAAGUCGACGAGACCUUCGGGUCUAGUGGCGCACGGGUGCGUAACGCGUGGGAAUCUGCCCUUGGGUUCGGAAUAACAGUUAGAAAUGACUGCUAAUACCGGAUAAUGUCUUCGGACCAAAGAUUUAUCGCCCAGGGAUGAGCCCGCGUAGGAUUAGCUAGUUGGUGAGGUAAAGGCUCACCAAGGCGACGAUCCUUAGCUGGUCUGAGAGGAUGAUCAGCCACACUGGGACUGAGACACGGCCCAGACUCCUACGGGAGGCAGCAGUGGGGAAUAUUGGACAAUGGGCGAAAGCCUGAUCCAGCAAUGCCGCGUGAGUGAUGAAGGCCUUAGGGUUGUAAAGCUCUUUUACCCGGGAUGAUAAUGACAGUACCGGGAGAAUAAGCCCCGGCUAACUCCGUG